rnacentral:tRNA from 2 species
GGGGAAUUAGCUCAGCUGGGAGAGCGCAUGACUGGCAGUCAUGAGGUCAGGGGUUCGAACCCCCUAUUCUCCACCA